UUGGUGUCCGCUUGUUGCUUAAACCUCUCUCUAGCCCUUCUUACACAUCUCCGCUGCCCCUCCCCUACCGAAGCUCACCAUCACACUGCUUCGUUGUCCUCACUCUGCAGGGCUUCAGAGUCUCUCAGCCGCUCCAAGCCGCACUCCCUCUCA